rnacentral:rRNA from 1 species
UACGAAGGGGGCUAGCGUUGCUCGGAAUCACUGGGCGUAAAGCGCGCGUAGGCGGCUUUGCAAGUCGGGUGUGAAAUCCCCAGGCUUAACCUGGGAACUGCAUUCGAGACUGCAUUGCUAGAGUAUGGGAGAGGGAAGUGGAAUUUCCGGUGUAGCGGUGAAAUGCGUAGAUAUCGGAAGGAACGCCGGUGGCGAAAGCGGCGCGCUGGACCUCUUCUGACGCUGAGGUGCGAAAGCGUGGGGAGCAAACAGG